rnacentral:rRNA from 1 species
AGAGUUUGAUCCUGGCUCAGAUUGAACGCUGGCGGAAUGCUUUACACAUGCAAGUCGAACGGCAGCACGGGAGCUUGCUCCUGGUGGCGAGUGGCGAACGGGUGAGUAAUGCGUCGGAACGUACCGAGUAAUGGGGGAUAACGCAGCGAAAGUUGUGCUAAUACCGCAUACGCCCUGAGGGGGAAAGUGGGGGAUCGCAAGACCUCACGUUAUUCGAGCGGCCGACGUCUGAUUAGCUAGUUGGUGGGGUAAAGGCCUACCAAGGCGACGAUCAGUAGCGGGUCUGAGAGGAUGAUCCGCCACACUGGGACUGAGACACGGACCCCACUCCUACGGGAGGCAGCAGUUAGGAAUCUUCCGCAAUGGGCGAAAGCCUGACGGAGCGAUACCGCUUGAAGGACGAAGCCCUUCGGGGUGUAAACUUCUGAACUCGGGACGAUAAUGACGGUACCGAGGUAAUAGCACCGGCUAACUCCGUGCCAGCAGCCGCGGUAAUACGUAGGGGGCGAGCGUUGUCCGGAUUUAUUGGGCGUAAAGCGCGUGUAGGUGGCGUACUAAGUCCGAUGUGAAAACUCUCGGCUCA